GCUUUGCCCGAGAGGUCUAAGGGGUGAGACUUAAGAUCUCCUGUUUUCGAACGCGUGGGUUCGAACCCCACAAGCAG
rnacentral:tRNA from 1 species